UAGAAUGUGGUGUAGUGGGGGCACAGGGAGUCUUGAUCUCCUUGGGAGAGGUUCAAAUCCUUUCUUUCUAA
rnacentral:tRNA from 1 species